rnacentral:rRNA from 1 species
ACCAAGCCGUUGAUCGGUACGGGUUGUGAGAGCAAGAGCCCGGAGAUGGAACUGAGACAAGGUUCCAGGCCCUACGGGGUGCAGCAGGCGCGAAACCUCCGCAAUGUGAGAAAUCGCGACGGGGGGAUCCCAAGUGCCAUUCUUAACGGGAUGGCUUUUCAUUAGUGUAAAGAGCUUUUGGAAUAAGGGCUGGGCAAGACCGGUGCCAGCCGCCGCGGUAACACCGGCAGCUCUAGUGGUAGCAGUUUUUAUUGGGCCUAAAGCGUCCGUAGCCGGUUUAAUAAGUCUCUGGUGAAAUCCUGUAGCUUAACUGUGGGAAUUGCUGGAGAUACUAUUAGACUUGAGACCGGGAGAGGUUAGAGGUACUCCCAGGGUAGAGGUGAAAUUCUGUAAUCCUGGGAGGACCGCCUGUUGCGAAGGCGUCUAACUGGAACGGUUCUGACGGUGAGGGACGAAAGUUAGGGGCGCGAACCGGAUUAGAUACCCGGGUAGUCCUAACCGUAAACGAUGCGGACUUGGUGUUGGGGUGGCUUUGAGCUGCUCCAGUGCCGAAGGGAAGCUGUUAAGUCCGCCGCCUGGGAAGUACGGUCGCAAGACUGAAACUUAA